rnacentral:rRNA from 1 species
UACGUAGGGUGCGAGCGUUAAUCGGAUUUACUGGGCGUAAAGCGUGCGCAGGCGGCCCGUUAAGACAGGUGUGAAAUCCCUGGGCUCAACCUAGGAAUUGCGCUUGUGACUGGCGGGCUCGAGUACGGUAGAGGGGGGUGGAAUUCCUGGUGUAGCAGUGAAAUGCGUAGAGAUCAGGAGGAACACCGAUGGCGAAGGCAGCCCCCUGGGCCUGUACUGACGCUCAUGCACGUAAGCGUGGGGAGCAAACAGG